rnacentral:lncRNA from 1 species
AACGCACUCUAACAAUAAACACUUGAAAAAAUAGCGACAAUCUUCAGAACGCCGUUGAUAUAGCAUGUUUUAUAGAACCAGUUUCGGUUUCGAUCGAAACCGGGACUGGUAGUAUAAAAGCUGUGAUAAUAUAAUGAAUUAUCAGCAGCGAUUUGAGGUUUGUGAUCACUUCAUUUGUGAAUUAGAGCUCCUAAACUUUCAACUAAAGCAACAAAGUUAAUGGUUGAAGAAGAUAUCAUGCCACUACGCCUUUAGUUAGCGGCACAACAUUCAUUUUGACGCCACUGCUAGCAACACUGGCAUUGUUUUUUUUCCAUUCCGUGGAGGAUUUUUUGUGCGUGAACGAUCGCCCGCUUGUGAAAAGUUAGUGCGACUCAGUGAUUCGUCUACGUAAGAUACCAAUUUCACAAGAACAAAAAGGUUAUAAGUGCGAAGAGCGUGCGGUGGUUUAACCGCAAGGACGUUGACGACUUCACCCCUGGGGAUGUCUUCAGUGCUUACUGGGAGCGGCGAUGAGAAGACCAAAGUCGGCUCUACGACACCGUGCUUCUGCAUAUGACAGUCCAAAGAAGAAAUGGACCAAUGUUUCAAUGCAUACGGAACAAAAAAAAAGAUACGCCGACCAGCCCAAACAAACAUUUAUGACGUCUCGGCUUUCAGCACGCAAGCCUUGAUCACAAUGAACGCAUCACCAGAAGUGCUUCAUUUAAAUGGGCUUGAGUAAUCACUGCAAAGGCUGUGCGUAGAUGGGGUUGCGAUUUCCGUCGUUAAGAUUAACUCUCUUGCAAGUGGUCUGUAUGAUAAGUGAUUCUAUACGUAGCCGAGAUGCUGCCAUAUUUUCUGUUGUGACGAUUUUUGCGUUGUCUCAAUCAAUCUUGUGGUCAUUCAUCACGGCGUGUUCAGCUAAAGCGUUGUUGUGGACGCUCUUAUUUUUUGUCACGAGCGUGCUGCUGCAGACGCUUCUUGUAGUUUCCUGACUCUCCGAUGUAAACACUCUUGCAGUCUGCCAAAAUAUCUAGUAAACUACACUGGGGAAAUGCUCCCUGAGCAGGCGGUCCUUCACUCUCACAAGUUGAUGGCGCAUCUUUUUGGGUGAAAUGUGUGCCACAUACAUGUCAUACUCACGUCGGACAUGUGCCAAACAUUCGCUUGUCGCAGAAAUAUGCGGUAGGGGGCUCGCUUCGUAGAGGCGGGGGCCAGCAGAGAGGAGGUGCGUCAAGGUGUCAUUGUCACGACAGUUGAAUUUCACCUCUGUGCACUCCGCUUUCAACAAGAGGGCUGUUGUCAGCACGCUGCUGCAGCGUGCCAAAAGAUUGGGCUCGAAGCCACAUGAUGCAGGCAUGGCAAAGGUACGGGAUGACCUCGAUCACUGUGGAUACCCUAGGCACUUUACCAGUGCAAUAGACUGUCAACUGUCAUGACGGGUACACACUUACGCGCCUGCUUCAGCAGAACACGCCAUGAUGAAUGACUACAAGAUUGAUUGGACCAACGCAAGAAUCGUCACAACAGAAAAAGUGACAGCAUCUUGGCUACGUAUGGAAUCGCUUAUCAUGCAGACCACUUGUAAAAGAGUUAAUCUUAACAACAGAAAUCUAAACGUGAUCAAUGCGAGGUCUUUGCAGCAAUUUCUCAAACCUAUUUAAAUGAACCGCUUCUGCUGAUGCAUUCAUUGUCAACAAGGCUUCCGUGCUCAAAGCCGAAACGUGAUAAACGUUUGUUUGGUCUGGUCGGCAUCUCUUUUUGUUUCAAAUGUACCGUGCCGGCCACACGGGAUUCCUUCAUGCUGUCGACUUCCAUGUCAACACAAAGAGUGCACAAACCGCAACAGAAGGAUUACUCUUCUUCAAAAUCAGUCACAUUUGUGCGCCAUGAAUGGGAAGCAUGGAGUGAUGUUUUGUCUUCUGUAUCUGGACCCAUGUGGAUGGUGCCAGCCAAGAAUGGCAAAAAUAAGGAAAACCUGUGCCACUCCCACAAUAUUUCAUGCCACUUGCCACUUCGUUGAAAAGGAGACUGCUGAGGAGGCGUUUCUGGAUGACACGGCCUCUACGAGCCUUCCAUUGUGGGAUGAACAGUUAUUCCCAUCAUUAGAGCCUUCACCAAAUGAGAUU